rnacentral:rRNA from 1 species
AUUGAACGCUGGCGGCAGGCCUAACACAUGCAAGUCGAACGAGUGGGGACGGGUGAGUAACACGUGGGUAACCUCCCAUCAGAGGGGAUAACACUUGGAAACAGGUGCUAAACCGAUUCUGAUGGAUGGACCCGCGGUGCAUCUGUUAGUUGGUGAGGUAAAGGCUCACCAAGGCCACGAUGCAUAGCCGACCUGAGAGGGUGAUCGGCAACACUGGGACUGAGACACGGCCCAGACUCCUACGGGAGGCAGCAGUAGGGAAUCUUCGGCAAUGGACGAAAGUCGGACCGAGCAACGCCGCGUGAGUGAAGAAGGUUUUCGGAUCGUAAAACUCUGUUGUUAGAGAAGCGGUAUCUAACCAGAAAGCCACGGCUAACUACGUGCCAGCAGCCGCGGUAAUUC